CGGAAAGUCAAAACCCUUAUAAUUUAGAACUGAGGGAGUAUUUCAAGUGAACUAUGUCCGUUCCUUUUAUUUUCCAAACGAGUGACGACUGUUGAUAUGAGAUUGGAUGGCGCCGGCACUUCUUCUUUGUCCCAAAUAUCCUUUGUGCUCCCUCAUCUAUGAAGUAGCACUCAUCCUCGCCCAGUUAUCUCUUAGCAGCUUCCUCACC
rnacentral:lncRNA from 1 species